UACGUAGGGUGCAAGCGUUGUCCGGAAUUAUUGGGCGUAAAGAGCUCGUAGGCGGUCUGUCGCGUCGGCUGUGAAAACCCGGGGCUCAACCCCGGGCCUGCAGUCGAUACGGGCAGACUAGAGUGCGGUAGGGGAGACUGGAAUUCCUGGUGUAGCGGUGAAAUGCGCAGAUAUCAGGAGGAACACCGGUGGCGAAGGCGGGUCUCUGGGCCGUAACUGACGCUGGAGGAGCGAAAGCGUGGGGAGCGAACAGG
rnacentral:rRNA from 1 species